ACAAGUAGUCAGAGCCCGUUAAUGGGUGAUGGCGUGCCUUUUGUAGAAUGAACCGGCGAGUUACGAUUUGAUGCAAGGUUAAGCAGUAAAUGUGGAGCCGUAGCGAAAGCGAGUCUGAAUAGGGCGUUUAGUAUUUGGUCGUAGACCCGAAACCAGGUGAUCUACCCUUGGUCAGGUUGAAGUUCAGGUAACACUGAAUGGAGGACCGAACCGACUUACGUUGAAAAGUGAGCGGAUGAACUGAGGGUAGCGGAGAAAUUCCAAUCGAACCUGGAGAUAGCUGGUUCUCUCCGAAAUAGCUUUAGGGCUAGCCUCAAGUGAUGAUUAUUGGAGGUAGAGCACUGUUUGGACGAGGGGCCCCUCUCGGGUUACCGAAUUCAGACAAACUCCGAAUGCCAAUUAAUUUAACUUGGGAGUCAGAACAUGGGUGAUAAGGUCCGUGUUCGAAAGGGAAACAGCCCAGACCACCAGCUAAGGUCCCAAAAUAUAUGUUAAGUGGAAAAGGAUGUGGCGUUGCCCAGACAACUAGGAUGUUGGCUUAGAAGCAGCCAUCAUUUAAAGAGUGCGUAAUAGCUCACUAGUCGAGUGACACUGCGCCGAAAAUGUACCGGGGCUAAACAUAUUACCGAAGCUGUGGAUUGUCCUUUGGACAAUGGUAGGAGAGCGUUCUAAGGGCGUUGAAGCAUGAUCGUAAGGACAUGUGGAGCGCUUAGAAGUGAGAAUGCCGGUGUGAGUAGCGAAAGACGGGUGAGAAUCCCGUCCACCGAUUGACUAAGGUUUCCAGAGGAAGGCUCGUCCGCUCUGGGUUAGUCGGGUCCUAAGCUGAGGCCGACAGGCGUAGGCGAUGGAUAACAGGUUGAUAUUCCUGUACCACCUAUAAUCGUUUUAAUCGAUGGGGGGACGCAGUAGGAUAGGCGAAGCGUGCGAUUGGAUUGCACGUCUAAGCAGUAAGGCUGAGUAUUAGGCAAAUCCGGUACUCGUUGAGGCUGAGCUGUGAUGGGGAGAAGACAUUGUGUCUUCGAGUCGUUGAUUUCACACUGCCGAGAAAAGCCUCUAGAUAGAAAAUAGGUGCCCGUACCGCAAAC
rnacentral:rRNA from 1 species